UAAACGCUGGCGGCGUGCUUAACACAUGCAAGUCGAACGGAGUGAUUCUCCCGAAGAUUGAGGGUGCUUGCACCUGAUUGAUUCAUUUGAAUCACUUAGUGGCGGACGGGUGAGUAACGCGUGGGUAACCUGCCCUAUACUGGGGGAUAGCAGUUGGAAACGACUGAUAAUACCGCAUAAGCGCACGGUAUCGCAUGAUACAGUGUGAAAAACUCCGGUGGUAUAGGAUGGACCCGCGUCUGAUUAGCUAGUUGGUGAGGUAACGGCCCACCAAGGCGACGAUCAGUAGCCGGCCUGAGAGGGUGUACGGCCACAUUGGGACUGAGACACGGCCCAAACUCCUACGGGAGGCAGCAGUGGGGAAUAUUGGACAAUGGGGGAAACCCUGAAUCCAGCGACGCCGCGUGAACGAAGAAGUAUUUCGGUAUGUAAAGUUCUAUCAGCAGGGAAGAUAAUGACGGUACCUGACUAAGAAGCACCGGCUAAAUACGUGCCAGCCGCGGC
rnacentral:rRNA from 1 species